rnacentral:rRNA from 1 species
ACAUACGACCAUACCUACCAGAAAAUACGGGAUCCCGUCCGCUCUCCCAUAGUCAAGCUGGUAAGGGGCGGAUUAGUAGUUAGGUCGGUGACGACCAGCGAAUCCCCGCUGUUGUAUGUU